GUUAGGGGGGACAGUUGGUCAGUGAAGAGAAAGGAAGCAGCCCCUGACAGCUGAGGGUCUUUUGUCUCUGGGAUCUCUAGAGAGCAGAAGAUGAAGAAACUGAACUCUCUGAUGGAUAAGGGACUUGUCCGAGGUCACAUAGGCAGCAAGUACUUCAGGAAGAAUACAAGAUACAGAUGGCAUGGGGCACGCAGGCUCUCCACUGUCCCAAAUGGCUUGCAGACUUCUGAGCUAUAGUUGGGAAGAAACCAAAGAGUCACAUCGUGGAACAGCUAAGUCAGCCUUUUAUGCUUAACUCUUGUGCCUUAAAGAAUAAAUAUAUCCACAAUUCCUUGA